GAUGUUAGCGGCGGACGGGUGAGUAACACGUGGGUAACCUGCCUGUAAGACUGGGAUAACUCCGGGAAACCGGGGCUAAUACCGGAUGGUUGUCUGAACCGCAUGGUUCAGACAUAAAAGGUGGCUUCGGCUACCACUUACAGAUGGACCCGCGGCGCAUUAGCUAGUUGGUGAGGUAACGGCUCACCAAGGCGACGAUGCGUAGCCGACCUGAGAGGGUGAUCGGCCACACUGGGACUGAGACACGGCCCAGACUCCUACGGGAGGCAGCAGUAGGGAAUCUUCCGCAAUGGACGAAAGUCUGACGGAGCAACGCCGCGUGAGUGAUGAAGGUUUUCGGAUCGUAAAGCUCUGUUGUUAGGGAAGAACAAGUGCCGUUCAAAUAGGGCGGCACCUUGACGGUACCUAACCAGAAAGCCACGGCUAACUACGUGCCAGCAGCCGCGGUAAUACGUAGGUGGCAAGCGUUGUCCGGAAUUAUUGGGCGU
rnacentral:rRNA from 1 species